AGCCCGUUUGCUGAGAGAGAGAGAGAGAGAGAGAGAGAGAGAGAGAGAGAGAUCGAGUGAGGAGCCAGAGGUGCCCGUGAAAUCUGCGCGCAAGGGGGAGGAUGACACCAAUAUUCCCAUCCACGCAAAGUUUCCCAGCAUUUCAUCUCGACACUUUCUGCCCAUCUGUUCGCCUGAAGUCCCGUCCAGAGAAUCAGACAGCUGCUGAUGCUGAUGCUGAUGCUGAUGCUGGAACAGGGACAGGGUUUCAGCAUCCUCCUCCUCCUCCAGCAUUAGUCGAGUUCGGGCUCUCCACCGCACUGUCGGCACCAACGCUAGAGAAAACACAGCUUUACUGCAGAGGGUGAGGAGGUUCAAGGUGAAAAGAAGUCUUUACGUGUGCUGUGUUGAGGGUGUUCUCAAUGGGCAGAGAUCAUAUGUCUGUCUGAUGUGAAACUGCAUUAGCCUGUGAGGGGAAACUUCCCAAACUAAAAAGGUGCUGAUGAAAACAUCAAAGGUCACUGGAUGGAUGUAACACAUUUUGAUGGAUUGUCAAACUUCAUCAGUCGGAUGAAGAUGACGUGUCUAGAAAGCACUGUUUUUUUGUGACACUUGUGUUAUGCUUAAGCUGUCCCCCGGUGCAUUCUGAACACCCAUCUCCUAAGGAGCGAGGUGACACCGUGAGAUUCUUUAAAGGACACCCCAUGGCAGUUAGGCAGAGGAUGGGCUGAAUUUUGAGAUGGUGGGGGGCCUGAGAUUUUACUACAGCCCCGUGGCUCAAAAUCUGACAUUUUAACAAUGCUCCGAAAAGCUUGUCACAAAUUUUUAGUCUUCGCUUUGGUGAAAGAUACACAGCUAAAAUGCAUCUUAAAAUUAAAAGGUUCAGUCAAAAAUUAAGAUUCAGUCAUCAAUUAGUCACUCUCAUGUCAUUUCAAAACUGUAUUAUUUGCUUUUAUUUGUGGAAUGAAUGUUGAUGCUUUUCUUUUCAAUAUGUAAUGGAAUACUGUAUAUAUAAAUAGAUAUGGUGACCAUAUACACGCUACCAUUCAAAAGUGUGAUGGGUGGGUACAGUUUUUUUUAAAUGUUAAAAUAAAAAAACAUGAUAUUGUGAAAUAUUUUCAGUUUUCUAUUUGAGUAGAUUUUAAAAUGUAAUUUAUUCCUG
rnacentral:lncRNA from 1 species